rnacentral:RNase_P_RNA from 1 species
GCAGCUCAAAGGCCGCGAAGCUCAUUCCAUACAGGAUGUCCUACAUCCGCACUCAUGAGCGGGCUAAGGUCUGAACGGCACCCAUUUCAAUAUGCUCCUGGUCCUAGAUGGACCCCAUCGCAAUCGAUGGUGAGAGCCACCAGCCAGUCGCAGGGUUGGGCGAGCCUUAUCGUAAUCACUGCGUGGACCUCUUUAUCAUAUGUCUCAUGCAUUCUGCCAGUGAGCGAGUGCUGGGAGUUACUGAUCUCGUCUGCCGGUCUCCAGCAAUUCGAGAUCCCCUUGCAUUGUACACUCUUCCGAGACUUAUGUCUCAGAUGCUCUGCCAAUGUGCGGGCAUGAGGAGGGAUUUUGCUCGCUUCAAGCGGACUAUGGUACAUGCUGAAGGGCCUAUGGGUACACUCCUGCGAGAGACAUAUGAGAAGUUUGUAUCUAGCAGAUGGGCGAUACUCGUCCUUCAGUGCUAUUCGCGGCUCGCAUAAAAGCCUAUGUGCUUUGCGAAACUCAAUUCAGACCACUCUUGGGCUGC